GUCUCUUCAGUUAUACAAGAAUGGACCUGCGGUUCUCAGGAUGCAACCUGGAACCGAAGCCCGACAUGAAAGCAGCUGCAGAAGGAGGAGCCGCCAGCUCUGAGAUCAAACCCAGGGCCAGAUUUGGCUUGGAGGAUUUGUUUCCCAUAUGCCUCCCCCUGUCUUCUGCACCUCCCAUGCCAGCCUGGCUCAGGGUCAAGCAGCCUGAUCCGCAACAACCCCGCCGUGGAGACGAUCCAAAGGCUCAUCACGGAUGGAGUGACUGUGGCCAAACAAAGGAAUACCACUCAGCAGCAAAAAGGAAUGGAUUACUAAUACAUACAAUAACAUGAAUCCGACUCCAAAAGCGUUAGGAUGGGUGAGUGCUGGAAGCCAGAUGAGGCCACUUAUAAGAAAUCCUGGACCAGGCAAACCAGUGACAGAAAACAGAUCAAAGAACGAGGGGCCUGGGGUGCAGUGGUGAGGGGAAGAACCAGAGCGCUUUUGUUUUUUUAAGAGUGAAGGAAACGUUCCAGAUCUUAAUUCUCGUGGGGGUUCCACAGGUGAAUACAUUUGUCAAGAACUCAUUGGGGCGCCUGUGUAGCUCAGUCGGUUAAGCAGCUGACUUUGGCUCAA